rnacentral:lncRNA from 10 species
CAGGGAUGGCAAAUGGUUUUUCACUUUGCAUACCAACUCUGAUUUUUUAGAAGGGCCUCUCUAGAGCAAUCUGCUGAGUGAGAGACAGUCUGAGAAAGAAUUAUUAUGAAAUUUGCAUUUUAGAUUGAAAUAUAUAGGUAAAAUAAGAUCCCAGUAUAAAAAUUUUUUGCAUCUGUCCAGUGGAAAAUUCCUUUUCAGAAGUAAGCUACCAUGCAAAUGUAUUUUUCUGAAACAUUUUUUCACCUUAAUGUUUAUAACCAUCUACUCUUACCAAGUCCUUAGAAAUUCAAGACUUGUGUUGUUGAUUACAACUAAAUCAACUGUGGAGGGAAAUAAGUGAAAAAAAAAACUGGGAUGAGACGUGAAAUAGGUGGCUAAAAAUAGUAUAUAACAGUGGAAUAUUGGAAUAUCUAGUUUUAAUUGCCUCAGCCUAAUACUAAUUAUUUCAAUCUAGUUUGUGACAGAAAUCUAAUAAAGGAUACAGAAUAUUUUAAUUAACCUAUCAGAGUAAAAACUUG